AGAGUUUGAUCAUGGCUCAGAUUGAACGCUGGCGGAAUGCUUUACACAUGCAAGUCGAACGGCAGCACGGAGAGCUUGCUCUCUGGUGGCGAGUGGCGAACGGGUGAGUAAUAUAUCGGAACGUGUCCAAUAAUGGGGGAUAACGAGUCGAAAGAUUCGCUAAUACCGCAUACGCCCUACGGGGGAAAGCAGGGGAUCGUAAGACCUUGCGUUAAUGGAGCGGCCGAUAUCUGAUUAGCUUGUUGGUGAGGUAAAGGCUCACCAAGGCGACGAUCAGUAGCUGGUUUGAGAGAACGACCAGCCACACUGGAACUGAGACACGGUCCAGACUCCUACGGGAGGCAGCAGUGGGGAAUUUUGGACAAUGGGGGCAACCCUGAUCCAGCCAUUCCGCGUGAGUGAAGAAGGCCUUCGGGUUGUAAAGCUCUUUCGCGAGGGAAGAAAACUUAUGAUCGAAUAAAUCAUGAGGUUGACGGUACCUUGAUAAGAAGCACCGGCUAACUACGUGCCAGCAGCCGCGGUAAUACGUAGGGUGCGAGCGUUAAUCGGAAUUACUGGGCGUAAAGCGUGCGCAGGCGGUUUUGUAAGUCGGAUGUGAAAUCCCCGGGCUCAACCUGGGAACUGCGUUCGAAACUGCAAGGCUAGAGUGUGUCAGAGGGGGGUAGAAUUCCACGUGUAGCAGUGAAAUGCGUAGAGAUGUGGAGGAAUACCAAUGGCGAAGGCAGCCCCCUGGGAUAACACUGACGCUCAUGCACGAAAGCGUGGGGAGCAAACAGGAUUAGAUACCCUGGUAGUCCACGCCCUAAACGAUGUCAACUAGUUGUUGGUAGAGUAAAAUCUAUGAGUAACGUAGCUAACGCGUGAAGUUGACCGCCUGGGGAGUACGGUCGCAAGAUUAAAACUCAAGGAAUUGACGGGGGCCCGCA
rnacentral:rRNA from 1 species